UACGAAGGGGGCUAGCGUUGCUCGGAAUCACUGGGCGUAAAGGGCGCGUAGGCGGCGUUUUUAAGUCGGGGGUGAAAGCCUGUGGCUCAACCACAGAAUGGCCUCGAUACUGGGACGCUUGAGUAUGGUAGAGGUUGGUGGAACUGCGAGCGUAGCGGUGGAAUGCGUAGAGAUCCGGAAGAACACCGGUGGCGAAGGCGGUUAGCUGGGCAGUUGCUGACACUGAGGCGCGACAGCGUGGGGAGCAAACAGG
rnacentral:rRNA from 1 species